rnacentral:rRNA from 1 species
ACGGACGCUGGCGGCGUGCUUAACACAUGCAAGUCGAACGGAAAGGCCCCAACUUGCUGGGGUACUCGAGUGGCGAACGGGUGAGUAACACGUGGGUGAUCUGCCCUGCACUCUGGGAUAAGCCUGGGAAACUGGGUCUAAUACCGGAUAGGACCGUGCUUUAGUGUGUGCGGUGGAAAGUUUUUCGGUGCAGGAUGAGCCCGCGGCCUAUCAGCUUGUUGGUGGGGUAAUGGCCUACCAAGGCGGCGACGGGUAGCCGGCCUGAGAGGGUGUACGGCCACAUUGGGACUGAGACACGGCCCAGACUCCUACGGGAGGCAGCAGUGGGGAAUAUUGCACAAUGGGCGCAAGCCUGAUGCAGCGACGCCGCGUGGGGGAUGACGGCCUUCGGGUUGUAAACCCCUUUCGGCAGGGACGAAGCUUUUGUGACGGUACCUGCAUAAGAAGCACCGGCUAACUACGUG